rnacentral:rRNA from 1 species
UCAUGGCUCAGAACGAACGCUGGCGGCGCGUUUAAGCAUGCAAGUCGAGCGGCAAGGGCCUUCGGGCCCCUAGAGCGGCGGACGGGUGAGUAACACGUGGACAAUCUGCCCCUGGCCCGGGAUAGCCCAGGGAAACCUGGAUUAAUACCGGAUGAGACGGGACCCGCGAUGGCGGGAUCCGGGAAAGGCGCUGCGGCGCCGCCGGGGGAUGAGUCUGCGUCCCAUUAGCUAGACGGCGGGGUAACGGCCCACCGUGGCGACGAUGGGUAGCCGGCCUGAGAGGGUGGACGGCCACAUUGGAACUGAGACACGGUCCAGACUCCUACGGGAGGCAGCAGCUAAGAAUCUUCCGCAAUGGGCGAAAGCCUGACGGAGUCCGACGCCGCGUGAACGAAGAAGGCCGUGAGGUUGUAAAGUUCUUUUCGGGAGGGGAACAACCGUGGCAGGGAAUGGCCGCGGGAUGACGUGAAUCCCGGAAUAAGCCCCGGCUAACUACGUGCCAGCAGCCGC